GGCGGUGUGGCGCAAUGGUAGCGCGUGGUCCUCCUACUCUGCAAGAGCAGCGAGUUCCCCAGUAGACUGAGGCUGCAGGUUCGAGUCCUGCCAUCGUCG